UGGGGAAUAUUGCACAAUGGGCGAAAGCCUGAUGCAGCGACGCCGCGUGAGGGAUGACGGCCUUCGGGUUGUAAACCUCUUUCAGCAGGGAAGAAGCGAAAGUGACGGUACCUGCAGAAGAAGCACCGGCUAACUACGUGCCAGCAGCCGCGGUAAUACGUAGGGUGCGAGCGUUGUCCGGAAUUAUUGGGCGUAAAGAGCUUGUAGGCGGUUUGUCGCGUCUGCCGUGAAAAUCCGGGGCUCAACCCCGGACUUGCGGCGGGUACGGGCAGACUAGAGUGUGGUAGGGGAGACUGGAAUUCCUGGUGUAGCGGUGAAAUGCGCAGAUAUCAGGAGGAACACCGAUGGCGAAGGCAGGUCUCUGGGCCACUACUGACGCUGAGAAGCGAAAGCGUGGGGAGCGAACAGGAUUAGAUACCCUGGUAGUCCACGCCGUAAACGUUGGGAACUAGGUGUGGGUCUCAUUCCACGAGAUCUGUGCCGCAGCUAACGCAUUAAGUUCCCCGCCUGGGGAGUACGGCCGCAAGGCU
rnacentral:rRNA from 1 species